AUUUUCGGGUACUUCGAUCUCUACCUGACCGGGUAAUCUGUUAACCGGUAACCCUUAAAAUUUUAGCCUUUUAUCUUUUACAGGAGGGGCUGCGGCCUCCACGGAAAUUGCACUGGGGAAACGNCCGCAAAUACCCCAUAUUCCGAGAGGUGAAAUGAAUUUCGCCUAAGGAUGAGCUCGCGUCUGAUUAGCUAGUUGGUGUGGUAAAGGCUCACCAAGGCAUCGAUCAGUAGCUGGUCUGAGAGGAUGAUCAUCCACACUGGGACUGAGACACGGCCCAGACUCCUACGGGAGGCAGCGGUGGCGAAUUUUCCGCAAUGGGCGCAAGCUUGACGGAGCAACGCCGCGUGAGGAAUGAAGGCCAUCUGGGCUGUAAACCUCUUUUAUCAAGGAAAAAAGAUCUGACGGUACUUUGAUGAAUAAGCCACGGCUGAAUUCCGUGCCAGACAGCCGCGGUAAUUACGGGAGUUGCCAAGCGUUAAUCCGCAAUUAUUGGGGCGUAAAGCCUCCCGCGGGCGGAUUUAACAAAUCUGCCGUUAAAACGUGGAGCUAAACUCCAUUUUCGGCAGAGGAAACUUGUAAGAAUAACGUGGGUGAAAGGGCCAGAGAGGAUUUCCCGGUGGAGACAGGAAAAUGCGGAGGAUAUCGGAAAGAAACACCAAUGGCGAAAGACGCUUUUAAGGGGCCAAUACUGACGCUCAAUGAAUAAACACAAGGGGAGCAGAAAGGGAAAGAAAACCCCUGUUGACCAACCCUUAAACAAG
rnacentral:rRNA from 1 species